rnacentral:misc_RNA from 1 species
GAUGAAGAACGUAGCGAAAUGCGAUAAGUAAUGCGAAUUGCAGAAUUCAGUGAAUCAUCGAAUCUUUGAACGCACAUUGCGCCCCUUGGUAUUCCGAGGGGCAUGCCUGUUCGAGCGUCAUUAUAACCCCUCAAGCUCGGCUUGGUGUUGGGGCCUGCCGCACGGGCAGCCCUUAAAAUCAGUGGCGGUGCCAUCUGGCUCUAAGCGUAGUAAUUCUUCUCGCUAUAGAGUCCCGGUGGAUGCUUGCCAUUAACCCCCAAUUUCAAUGGUUGACCUCGGAUCAGGUAGGGAUACCCGCUGAACUUAAGCAUAUCAAUAAGCGGAGGA